ACUGCUCAGUAACACGUGGACAACCUGCCCUUAGGUUGGGUAUAAACCCGGGAAACUGGGUAUAAUACCCGAUAGGUCUCGAUUGCUGGAAUGCAUCGAGAUUUAAAGCUCCGGCGCCUAAGGAUGGGUCUGCGGCCUAUCAGGUAGUAGUGGGUGUAGCGUACCUACUAGCCUACGACGGGUACGGGUUGUGAGAGCAAGAGCCCGGAGAUGGAUUCUGAGACACGAAUCCAGGCCCUACGGGGUGCAGCAGGCGCGAAAACUUUACAAUGCUGGCAACAGCGAUAAGGGAACCUCGAGUGCCAGGUUACAAAUCUGGCUGUCGAGAUGCCUAAAAAGCAUUUCAUAGCAAGGGCCGGGCAAGACCGGUGCCAGCCGCCGCGGUAACACCGGCGGCUCGAGUGGUAACCGUUAUUAUUGGGUCUAAAGGGUCUGUAGCCGGCCGGAUAAGUCUCUUGAGAAAUCURGCAGCUYAACUGUCRGGCUUUCAGGAGAUACUGUCUGGCUCGAGGCCGGGAGAGGUGAGAGGUACUUCAGGGGUAGGGGUGAAAUCUUGUAAUCCUUGAAGGACCACCAGUGGCGAAGGCGUCUCACCAGAACGGACCUGACGGCAAGGGACGAAAGCUAGGGGCACGAACCGGAUUAGAUACCCGGGUAGUCCUAGCCGUAAACGAUACUCGCUAGGUGUCGGCCACGGUGCGACCGUUGUCGGUGCCGUAGGGAAGCCGUGAAGCGAGCCACCUGGGAAGUACGGCCGCAAGGCUGAAACUUAAAGGAAUUGGCGGGGGAGCACCACAACGGGUGGAGCUUGCGGUUUAAUUGGAUUCAACGCCGGAAAUCUUACCAGGACCGACAGCAAUAUGAAGGCCAGGCUGAAGACUUUGCCGGAUUAGCUGAGAGGUGGUGCAUGGCCGUCGUCAGUUCGUACUGUGAAGCAUCCUGUUAAGUCAGGCAACGAGCGAGACCCCUGCC
rnacentral:rRNA from 1 species